rnacentral:rRNA from 1 species
AGAGUUUGAUCCUGGCUCAGGACGAACGCUGGCGGCGUGCUUAACACAUGCAAGUCGAGCGGUAAGGCCCCUUCGGGGGUACACGAGCGGCGAACGGGUGAGUAACACGUGAGCAACCUACCCUUCACUUCGGGAUAAGCCUCGGAAACGGGGUCUAAUACCGGAUAUCACUCACUACUUCAUGGUGGUGGGUUGAAAGUUCUGGCGGUGGGGGAUGGGCUCGCGGCCUAUCAGCUUGUUGGUGGGGUAAUGGCCUACCAAGGCGUCGACGGGUAGCCGGCCUGAGAGGGCGACCGGCCACACUGGGACUGAGACACGGCCCAGACUCCUACGGGAGGCAGCAGUGGGGAAUAUUGCGCAAUGGACGAAAGUCUGACGCAGCAACGCCGCGUGAGGGAUGACGGCCUUCGGGUUGUAAACCUCUUUCAGCAGGGACGAAGCGAGAGUGACGGUACCUGCAGAAGAAGGACCGGCCAACUACGUGCCAGCAGCCGCGGUAAUACGUAGGGUCCGAGCGUUGUCCGGAAUUAUUGGGCGUAAAGGGCUCGUAGGCGGCUCGUCACGUCGGGAGUGAAAACUCGGAGCUCAACUCCGAGCCUGCUUCCGAUACGGGCAGACUAGAGGUAGGCAGGGGAGAGCGGAACUCCUGGUGUAGCGGUGGAAUGCGCAGAUAUCAGGAAGAACACCGGUGGCGAAGGCGGCUCUCUGGGCCUUACCUGACGCUGAGGAGCGAAAGCGUGGGUAGCGAACAGGAUUAGAUACCCUGGUAGUCCACGCCGUAAACGUUGGGCGCUAGGUGUGGGGGACAUUCCACGUCCUCCGUGCCGCAGCUAACGCAUUAAGCGCCCCGCCUGGGGAGUACGGCCGCAAGGCUAAAACUCAAAGGAAUUGACGGGGGCCCGCACAAGCGGCGGAGCAUGCGGAUUAAUUCGAUACACGCGAAGAACCUUACCUGGGUUUGACAUAUAGGGAAAUCCACCAGAGAUGGGGGGUCCGUAAGGGUCCUAUACAGGUGGUGCAUGGCUGUCGUCAGCUCGUGUCGUGAGAUGUUGGGUUAAGUCCCGCAACGAGCGCAACCCUCGUCCUAUGUUGCCAGCACGUUAUGGUGGGGACUCAUAGGAGACUGCCGGGGUCAACUCGGAGGAAGGUGGGGAUGACGUCAAGUCAUCAUGCCCCUUAUGUCCAGGGCUUCACGCAUGCUACAAUGGCCGGUACAAAGGGCUGCGAAACUGCAAAGUGGAGCGAAUCCCAAAAAGCCGGUCUCAGUUCGGAUUGAGGUCUGCAACUCGACCCCAUGAAGUCGGAGUCGCUAGUAAUCGCAGAUCAGCAACGCUGCGGUGAAUACGUUCCCGGGCCUUGUACACACCGCCCGUCACGUCAUGAAAGUCGGCAACACCCGAAGCCGGUGGCCUAACCCUUGUGGAGGGAGCCGUCGAAGGUGGGGCUGGCGAUUAGGACGAAGUCGAAACAAGGUAGCCGUACCGGAAGGUGCGGCUGG